CCUGGCCUUGACAUACUAAGAACUUUCCAGAGAUGGAUUGGUGCCUUCGGGAACUUAGAUACAGGUGCUGCAUGGCUGUCGUCAGCUCGUGUCGUGAGAUGUUGGGUUAAGUCCCGCAACGAGCGCAACCCUUUUCCUUAUUUGCCAGCGGGUUAAGCCGGGAACUUUAAGGAUACUGCCAGUGACAAACUGGAGGAAGGCGGGGACGACGUCAAGUCAUCAUGGCCCUUACGGCCAGGGCUACACACGUGCCACAAUGGUCGGUACAAAGGGUUGCUACCUCGCGAGAGGAUGCUAAUCUCAAAAAAGCCGAUCGUAGUCCGGAUCGCAGUCUGCAACUCGACUGCGUGAAGUCGGAAUCGCUAGUAAUCGCGGAUCAGAAUGCCGCGGUGAAUACGUUCCCGGGCCUUGUACACACCGCCCGUCACACCAUGGGAGUUUGUUGCACCAGAAGUAGGUAGUCUAACCGCAAGGAGGACGCUUACCACGGUGUGGCCGAUGACUGGGGUGAAGUCGUAACAAGGUAAGCGUAGAUGA
rnacentral:rRNA from 1 species